UUUUACGGGUCUAUAAAAUGUUUAUAUAAGUUACAAAUAUAAUUAGAUAUAUCUGUUAUCCGACAGCUAUCGGAAAUAUAUCCCAUACCAUCUGGCAUGCAUUCUUUGCCGUUUUGGUUGAUCCCAAGAGAUCCUCAAUGCUGGGCACAUUCCCAACAUGAUCGAUCAGCGUUAUAAUCUUUGGCCUCCAGUCUUUAGUUAGGGAUUUCAAGAGUUCGUAAUCGCCGCCAUCGCAGAAUAUCAGCUUUGGCCUUGUUAUCGCAUACAGAGCAGCUAUGGCUUCCGUCUCCAGCUGCGGAUUGACGGCAUGGAAGGGCGUGGCAUUGAAAAGGCAACCCAACAAAACCGCUUGGUAAACCACUUCGCCUAUGGAUAUUUUGGGAUCGCUAAAUAACCCAUUUUCCGGCCCAUACCAACAUUUUUCCUGUUCGUUGUAGCAAGUCUGGAUCAAAGACAUUUCAAUGGACUGAUUUGCCGCACAGUUGAAAAGUUAAUGAAUUCGUUUAACAAAUAUGUGUAGUUACUUAUUUUUAGAA